rnacentral:rRNA from 1 species
UACGAAGGGGGCAAGCGUUGUUCGGAGUUACUGGGCGUAAAGGGCGCGUAGGCGGAUUCGUAAGUCAGAGGUGAAAGCCCUGGGCUCAACCCGGGAAAUGCCUUUGGAACUGCGAGUCUUGAGUGCGGGAGAGGAUGGCGGAAUACCCAGGGUAGAGGUGAAAUUCGUGGAUAUUUGGUAGGACACCGGUGGCGAAGGCGGCCAUCUGGCCCGUAACUGACGCUGAGGCGCGAAAGCGUGGGCAGCAACCUGG